rnacentral:rRNA from 1 species
GACGAACCGUGCGAACGUUGUUCGGAUUCACUGGGCUUAAAGGGCGCGUAGGCGGCUUGCCGAGUCAGGGGUGAAAUCUUUCGGCUUAACCGGAAAAGUGCUUCUGAUACUGGCAGGCUGGAGGGAGGUAGGGGCAGACGGAACUUCCGGUGGAGCGGUGAAAUGCGUAGAUAUCUGGAGGAACACCGGUGGCGAAGGCGGCAUCCUGGACCGGCAUUGACGCUGAGGAGCGAAAGCCAGGGGAGCAAACGGG